rnacentral:rRNA from 1 species
AGCGUAGACGGCAUGGCAAGUCUGAAGUGAAAGCCCGGGGCUCAACCCCGGGACUGCUUUGGAAACUGUCAGGCUAGAGUGCUGGAGAGGUAAGUGGAAUUCCUAGUGUAGCGGUGAAAUGCGUAGAUAUAAGGAAGAACACCAGUGGCGAAGGCGGAUUACUGGACGGUAACUGACGGUGAGGCGCGAAAGCGUGGGGAGCGAACA